GUCCGGAGGCGGGAAUCGAACCCACAACCUUCUGCUUACCGGGCAGGUGCCAUGUCCACUAGGCUACACUGGA
rnacentral:tRNA from 1 species